CGGCCGGGGGAAAGGAGGUAGGCAUGAGUCGUAGGCAAAUCCGCGACUCUUUAUGCCGAGCACCGAGACGAGUCCUAUUGGACGAAGUCACCGAUACCACGCUUCCAGGAAAAGCCUCUAAGCUUCAGGUCACGCAGACCGUACCGUAAACCGACACAGGUGGGCAGGAUGAGAAUUCUCAGGCGCUUGAGAGAACUUGGGUGAAGGAACUAGGCAACAUGGCACCGUAACUUCGGGAGAAGGUGCGCCUUCAUUGGUGGCUACAUGCGUAGCUCAGCUGAUGGAGGCCUCAGAAACCAGGCCGCUGCGACUGUUUAUCAAAAACACAGCACUCUGCAAACACGAAAGUGGACGUAUAGGGUGUGACGCCUGCCCGGUGCUGGAAGGUUAAUUGAUGGGGUUAGCCGCAAGGCGAAGCUCUUGAUCGAAGCCCCAGUAAACGGCGGCCGUAACUAUAACGGUCCUAAGGUAGCGAAAUUCCUUGUCGGGUAAGUUCCGACCUGCACGAAUGGCGUAACGACAGCGGCGCUGUCUCCACCCAAGGCUCAGUGAAAUUGAAAUCGCUGUGAAGAUGCAGCGUUCCCGCGGCAAGACGGAAAGACCCCGUGAACCUUUACUAUAGCUUUACAUUGAACGUUGAGUUCGUCUGUGUAGGAUAGGUGGGAGGCUUUGAAGCGCAAGCGCUAGCUUGCGUGGAGCCAUCCUUGAAAUACCACCCUGAUGUGCUUGACGUUCUAACCUGGGCCCGUUAUCCGGGCCGGGGACCAUGUAUGGUGGGUAGUUUGACUGGGGCGGUCUCCUCCCAAAGAGUAACGGAGGAGCACGAAGGUACGCUCAGCGCGGUCGGACAUCGCGCACUGUGUGCAAUGGCAUAAGCGUGCUUGACUGCGAGAUCGACGGAUCAAGCAGGUACGAAAGUAGGUCAUAGUGAUCCGGUGGUUCUGUAUGGAAGGGCCAUCGCUCAACGGAUAAAAGGUACUCCGGGGAUAACAGGCUGAUACCGCCCAAGAGUUCAUAUCGACGGCGGUGUUUGGCACCUCGAUGUCGGCUCAUCACAUCCUGGGGCUGUAGUCGGUCCCAAGGUAUGGCUGUUCGCCAUUUAAAGUGGUACGCGAGCUGGGUUCAGAACGUCGUGAGACAGUUCGGUCCCUAUCUGUCGUGGGCGUCGGAGAUUUGAGAGGGGCUGCUCCUAGUACGAGAGGACCGGAGUGGACGAACCUCUGGUGUUCCGGUUGUCACGCCAGUGGCAUUGCCGGGUAGCUAUGUUCGGAAGCGAUAACCGCUGAAAGCAUCUAAGCGGGAAGCGCGCCUCAAGAUGAGAUCUCCCGGGACACAAGUCCCCUAAAGGAACGAUGAAGACUACGUCGUUGAUAGGUCGGGUGUGUAAGCACAGCAAUGUGUUGAGCUAACCGAUACUAAUGAUCCGUGCGGCUUGACC
rnacentral:rRNA from 1 species